CUACAUUCACUAGGAUGCUCCGCGUCAGCUCUGACUGAGUCUCACAAUUAAAAAACCAAAACAAGAACCUGACUACUGGGUAUUUUGCGAUUCACAGAUGAAACCCCCUUACGGGAUAUGUUCCACUAUGGUCUAUGCAGGCUCUCCCCCGAGUAUAACUGUAGCGAGGAACUAUGUAGCCCCAUCAAUGUUAAAAUUCCUCGGUAGCUCACCUCAUCCCCGGUUCUAACUGUCAAUAUUAGAACAUCUCCAGCUGCCUUCUUGCCCUUCAACUCCGUUCCGUGGUGGUAAAAUCACUGAGGAACAUCUGAGGGAUUCACUUCAUCCAACUGGGACUUGAUGAAAGACGCCACAUUUGUUCCAUCUGAACCACUCUGAGGCCUGCUGUUUGUCACAGAGAACGCAGACUUCAGACGCAGUCAGGAGUUGUGGUAUUGUGUGACACUUGGGGACUAUGAGGUUCCGAUGACGUCCUAGGAAACGGGCCUUUCUCACCUCAAAGAGCUUCUUCACUGGGCUGCAGAGAAGGUUCAGGGAUAAAGAGCAUUUGCUGAUCUUCCAGAAGACCUGAGUUUGGAUCCUAGCACCCACCUAGGGGGACCCUUAACUGCUUACCACUCCAGCACUAGGGGGUCCAAUGCCCUGUCUGACCUCCUUGGACAAACAUGUGGUACA